UUAAGAGGAGUAUUAUUCGUACAUAAAGUUUUGAUCUUUAAGGUGAGGUUAGUUCCCUUCUCUUAAG
rnacentral:tRNA from 1 species